ensembl:processed_transcript Gm13421 predicted gene 13421
ACACGUCAGUUGUCGCUCAGGAUUCGAGGAAGGGAAGGACUGUUCUACACAACGGCGGUUGUCCCUGCUUUUGUAUCCACGUCCGGGGAUCUUCGGUUAAGUCCAUUUUAUUGAAGAAGCCAUCGAUCUAGAACAACCUGGUAGUAUCAGUCCCCUUCGUAAAACCACGGUGUGACGUGACUUGCCCUCGAAGAUGGAGGGUACCCUGGAACUACCAACUGAAAUAAAUCCUUCCUUCCUCCGUUGCUUUUGGUCGAGGCGUUUUAUCACAGUAACAGACAUGAAAUUGGGACACCACCUAAGUCCAGCUUGUGCAGGGGCAUGAAGGAAAGAGAACGCAGUCACGUCUGUGCCAAAGAGCCCCUCCUGGGAUCCCAAACAUGGAGCUCUUGGGAAGAACAUGAUAGAAGAACAUAGAAGAGAGAGUAAGGAAAGUGGGUCUGUCUGCCUGUGGUGUGUUGUGAAGGACGUGAGUUGAGCAGGAACUUUGGUGUUGGUGUUAGCUUUUGUGGCAUGGCUGAGUCCUGAAGACCAUGGUCAGGUAGAAGAGACUCUUGUGGACCUCAGUGACUGCAGUCAGCAUUCAAGUUGGGUUGUAAAGUGCUAAAGCAAUCAAGAGCAGAUGAGAAAAAGAAAGACAGAAAAGGGCGGGCACUAGGGUAACUCAAAAGCAAACUGGGAGAUGCUCAGUGGGCAAAGUGCUUUGCAGGUGUGAGAAACGAGUUUGAAUCCCUAGCACCCACAAAAAAGCUAGGUCUGAGGCCUGGGUCUAAACCAGUGCCGGAGACAGUGGGGGCGGGCUGGUAUGG